rnacentral:rRNA from 1 species
AGACGUCUACAUUAGAUACCCGUGUAGUCCCAGCCGUAAACUAUGCGCGUUAGGUGUAUCGGUGACCACGAGUUACCGAGGUGCCGAAGGGAAACCGUGAAACGUGCCGCCUGGGAAGUACGGUCGCAAGGCUGAAACUUAAAGGAAUUGGCGGGGGAGCACCACAACAGGUGGAGCCUGCGGUUUAAUUGGACUCAACGCCGGACAACUCACCGGGACGACAGCAAUAUGUAGGCCAGGCUGAAGACCUUGCCUGAAUCGCUG